rnacentral:rRNA from 1 species
GGCGAAAAGAACCCCGGCGAGGGGAGUGAAAAAGAACCUGAAACCGUGUACGUACAAGCAGUGGGAGCCUCUUAAUGGGGUGACUGCGUACCUUUUGUAUAAUGGGUCAGCGACUUAUAUUCUGUAGCAAGGUUAACCGAAUAGGGGAGCCGAAGGGAAACCGAGUCUUAACUGGGCGUUAAGUUGCAGGGUAUAGACCCGAAACCCGGUGAUCUAGCCAUGGGCAGGUUGAAGGUUGGGUAACACUAACUGGAGGACCGAACCGACUAAUGUUGAAAAAUUAGCGGAUGACUUGUGGCUGGGGGUGAAAGGCCAAUCAAACCGGGAGAUAGCUGGUUCUCCCCGAAAGCUAUUUAGGUAGCGCCUCGUGAAUUCAUCUCCGGGGGUAGAGCACUGUUUCGGCAAGGGGGUCAUCCCGACUUACCAACCCGAUGCAAACUGCGAAUACCGGAGAAUGUUAUCACGGGAGACACACGGCGGGUGCUAACGUCCGUCGUGAAGAGGGAAACAACCCAGACCGCCAGCUAAGGUCCCAAAGUCAUGGUUAAGUGGGAAACGAUGUGGGAAGGCCCAGACAGCCAGGAUGUUGGCUUAGAAGCAGCCAUCAUUUAAAGAAAGCGUAAUAGCUCACUGGUCGAGUCGGCCUGCGCGGAAGAUGUAACGGGGCUAAACCAUGCACCGAAGCUGCGGCAGCGACACUAUGUGUUGUUGGGUAGGGGAGCGUUCUGUAAGCCUGUGAAGGUGGCCUGUGAGGGUUGCUGGAGGUAUCAGAAGUGCGAAUGCUGACAUAAGUAACGAUAAAGCGGGUGAAAAGCCCGCUCGCCGGAAGACCAAGGGUUCCUGUCCAACGUUAAUCGGGGCAGGGUGAGUCGACCCCUAAGGCGAGGCCGAAAGGCGUAGUCGAUGGGAAACAGGUUAAUAUUCCUGUACUUGGUGUUACUGCGAAGGGGGGACGGAGAAGGCUAUGUUGGCCGGGCGACGGUUGUCCCGGUUUAAGCGUGUAGGCUGGUUUUCCAGGCAAAUCCGGAAAAUCAAGGCUGAGGCGUGAUGACGAGGCACUACGGUGCUGAAGCGACAAAUGCCCUGCUUCCAGGAAAAGCCUCUAAGCAUCAGGUAACAUCAAAUCGUACCCCAAACCGACACAGGUGGUCAGGUAGAGAAUACCAAGGCGCUUGAGAGAACUCGGGUGAAGGAACUAGGCAAAAUGGUGCCGUAACUUCGGGAGAAGGCACGCUGAUAUGUAGGUGAAGCGACUUGCUCGUGGAGCUGAAAUCAGUCGAAGAUACCAGCUGGCUGCAACUGUUUAUUAAAAACACAGCACUGUGCAAACACGAAAGUGGACGUAUACGGUGUGACGCCUGCCCGGUGCCGGAAGGUUAAUUGAUGGGGUUAGCGGUAACGCGAAGCUCUUGAUCGAAGCCCCGGUAAACGGCGGCCGUAACUAUAACGGUCCUAAGGUAGCGAAAUUCCUUGUCGGGUAAGUUCCGACCUGCACGAAUGGCGUAAUGAUGGCCAGGCUGUCUCCACCCGAGACUCAGUGAAAUUGAACUCGCUGUGAAGAUGCAGUGUACCCGCGGCAAGACGGAAAGACCCCGUGAACCUUUACUAUAGCUUGACACUGAACAUUGAGCCUUGAUGUGUAGGAUAGGUGGGAGGCUUUGAAGUGUGGACGCCAGUCUGCAUGGAGCCGACCUUGAAAUACCACCCUUUAAUGUUUGAUGUUCUAACGUGGGCCCCUUACCGGGGUUGCGGACAGUGUCUGGUGGGUAGUUUGACUGGGGCGGUCUCCUCCUAAAGAGUAACGGAGGAGCACGAAGGUUGGCUAAUCCUGGUCGGACAUCAGGAGGUUAGUGCAAUGGCAUAAGCCAGCUUGACUGCGAGCGUGACGGCGCGAGCAGGUGCGAAAGCAGGUCAUAGUGAUCCGGUGGUUCUGAAUGGAAGGGCCAUCGCUCAACGGAUAAAAGGUACUCCGGGGAUAACAGGCUGAUACCGCCCAAGAGUUCAUAUCGACGGCGGUG